rnacentral:lncRNA from 1 species
CUUCCCAUAUCUCAGCCCCGUUAAAACAGCUUUUCUGACCUGCUGCGUUUGAAAAUGGGAGCUCAGAGGAGGCGCCGGUGGUUAAUCACACUCUCUGCUCUCAGAAUAGCAAAUGAAAAAGACGAGGGAGAGAACAGAUGUGCAAGCCAGAAACGGAGAAGUUAAACCAAAGAAAAGAGGCACCUGGGAAAGACAGGCCUGUUCCAGAAAGUGUUGGCUCAAGAGUUUCUACAGGACAGAGAAAGAACUGCUGCCGAACUCACUGAACACCACUGAGAGCCAACAACACCACGGGAUACUCAUUCAAAGAUUUGCCAUCACAGCUGCCCCCGAAGGCCUGUGCCGACCAUGUCAGAAGAUGGUUCUCCUCUCUAUUGCCCAUGCUUUAAAAAGUUUGGGUAGAUGUCCCAUGCUGCCUUUUUGAUUCUGGACACUUAGUCUGUGAACCCAGAGAUUGUCAGCUGGAUGACAGGAACGCGAAGGAAUACCCCUCACUGCUGCACAGCAAGGCUGCCUCCCAC